rnacentral:lncRNA from 1 species
CUAACUACUAUUGAUUCGAUACCGGAUGUUGGAAUUCUGCAACGGAAGUGCUGGAUAGAAUUUUUAUUAUAAAUUCGUCUUUUCAGCAAAAGCUGAUACAAUCAUAAAAGAUAGAAAACAACCAAACAAAAAAUAUGGAGUAAAAUAAGAUUCAUUAAAUAAAAGAAUAUUAUAUCUGACUUUUUUUCUGCAAUAGAGUAACUACAAUCUAAGCCCUCUUUUUGAAUCUCUUAUACCCUUCUCUCCUCUUCUAUAAACCCAUAGGAAGACAACUCUUUCUUUUUCUCUCUCACAUGCAUCCGUGCACUAGGCGCAUACAA